ACAUGUGGGGGUCAGGGAGAGAGUAAAGUUAUGUUUUAGACUGGUGGUGGUCAGGGAGAGAGUUGAGUUAUGUUCUAGACUGGUGGGGGUCAGGGAGAGAGUUGAGUUAUGUACUAGACUGGUGGGGGUCAGGGAGAGAGUUGAGUUAUGUACUAGACUGGUGGGGGUCAGGGAGAGAGUCGAGUUAUGUUCUAGACUGGUGGGGGUCAGGGAGAGAGUUAUGUACUAGACUGGUGGGGGUCAGGGAGAGAGUUGAGUUAUGUUCUAGACUGGUGGGGGUCAGGGAGAGAGGUGAGUUAUGUACUAGACUGGUUGGGGUCAGGGAGAGAGUUGAGUUAUGUACUAGACUGGUGGGGGUCAGGGAGAGAGUUGAGUUAUGUUCUAGACUGGUGGGGUCAGGGAGAGAGUUGAGUUAUGUUCUAGACUGGUGGGGGUCAGCGAGAGAGGUGAGUUAUGUACUAGACUGGUGGGGGUCAGGGAGAGAGUUAUGUUCUAGACUGGUGGGGGUCAGGGAGAGAGUUGAGUUAUGUCCUAGACUGGUGGGGGUCAGCGAGAGAGGUGAGUUAUGUACUAGACUGGUGGGGGUCAGGGAGAGAGUUAUGUACUAGACUGGUGGGGGUCAGGGAGAGAGUUGAGUUAUGUUCUAGACUGGUGGGGGUCAGCGAGAGAGGUAAGUUAUGUACUAGACUGGUGGGGGUCAGGGAGAGAGUUGAGUUAUGUACUAGAUUGCUGGGGGUCAGGGAGAGAGUUGAGUUAUGUUCUAGACUUGUGGGGGUCAGGGAGAGAGUAGCGUUAUGUUUUAGACUGGUGGUGGUCAGGGAGAGAGUUGAGUUAUGUUCUAGACUGGUGGGGGUCAGGGAGAGAGUUGAGUUAUGUACUAGACUGGUGGGGGUCAGGGAGAGAGUUGAGUUAUGUACUAGACUGGUGGGGGUCAGGGAGAGAGUCGAGUUAUGUUCUAGACUGGUGGGGGUCAGGGAGAGAGUUAUGUACUAGACUGGUGGGGGUCAGGGAGAGAGUUGAGUUAUGUUCUAGACUGGUGGGGGUCAGGGAGAGAGGUGAGUUUUGUACUAGAUGGGUGGGGGUCAGGGAGAGAGAUA
rnacentral:lncRNA from 1 species